rnacentral:rRNA from 1 species
UACGGGGGGAGCAAGCGUUGUUCGGAAUUACUGGGCGUAAAGGGCGCGUAGGCGGCACAGCAAGUCGGGAGUGAAAGCCCGGGGCUCAACCCCGGAAUGGCUUUCGAAACUGCUGAGCUAGAGUACAGAAGGGGCAACCGGAAUUCCCAGUGUAGCGGUGAAAUGCGUAGAUAUUGGGAAGAACACCUGAGGCGAAGGCGGGUUGCUGGGCUGAUACUGACGCUGAGGCGCGAAAGCCAGGGGAGCAAACGGG